CAGUCGCCACGGGAAUACGAACCGUGCGAACGUUAUUCGGAAUUACUGGGCUUAAAGCGCGUGUAGGCGGGUCGGCACGUCGGUCGCUGAAAUCCCCCGGCUCAACCGGGGAAGUGGCGCCGAUACGGCCGGCCUGGAGGGGGGUAGGGGGGCCUGGAACUUCCGGUGGAGCGGUGAAAUGCGUUGAGAUCGGAAGGAACGCCCGUGGCGAAAGCGAGGCCCUGGACCCUUUCUGACGCUGAGACGCGAAAGCCAGGGGAGCGAACGGGAUUAGAUACCCGUGUAGUCCCUGUCUCUUAUA
rnacentral:rRNA from 1 species